UACGGAGGGGGUUAGCGUUGUUCGGAAUGACUGGGCGUAAAGCGCGCGUAGGCGGAUCAGGAAGUUGGGGGUGAAAUCCCGGGGCUCAACCCCGGAAUGGCCUUCAAAACUCCUGGUCUUGAGUUCGAGAGAGGUGAGUGGAAUUCCGAGUGUAGAGGUGAAAUUCGUAGAUAUUCAGAGGAACACCAGUGGCGAAGGCGGCUCACUGGCUCGACACUGACGCUGAGGUGCGAAAGCGUGGGGAGCAAACAGG
rnacentral:rRNA from 1 species